ensembl:lncRNA
GCUGGGUUUGGAAAAAGCCUCCCGUGCACAACCCAGCCAGCAGGUUAUUCAUUUGCACCUUCCUGAGUCUCCUUUUUUUUUUUUUUUAAGGUGGCUCAACAGAUCCAUAGAUGAUGGAUCAACGGUGGACGGGAACGGUGGGGACAACGGUAGCUACAUGCUUUAGCGUGGAUGGACGGGAGAUAGAUCGAGUCCGUGGGCUCAGAUAGCUGGUUCCUCCACCUUGCCCGGGAAUGGGAAACCGCAGAGGUUACACGGCUCGACCACGGGCUGGGGGGGACCCAAGUCCGGCCAGGAAAGAUGCUGCUGGCUCCUCACCCACCUAUGCCGUGGCCACACCGGCUUUUCCGCUGGGGCCGCCUCUGCCCUUGCUUCUCCGGCGUGGCCUUACUGUCACGCCGGCGUCACCGUCCAGCGCCCUGCGUAGACCUGGGCUCCGGCGGCCACGUUUCGCUCUUGCGGAGGCGGACAGGAUUUUGCGUCCCGCUGCCCGCAGGCGGUUGCAGCUCUGACUCCCGAAGGAGCCUCCGAGGCUCGUGGCGCCUUGGGAUGACGGGGCAGGUGCCCCAGGUCCUGGCAAGGCGGCUCAGAGAGCUCGGCCGUUAGCGUCCCAGGUGGGACAUGGUGCCCGGGUGACCCGCUCGCAGGAGGCGCCCGCGGGAACCGUGCCAGCGAUUCCUGCAUUUCCGGGGAGCCCGGCCCGGGAAUCCCAAAGCCUCCAGUAUCUACCUUCCGGAAAAGUGGCUUUUGGGGCCUUUUUGGCUUGGUGGAUCCAUAAAAAUACCCCAGAAGGGGCUGCAGACCCCAGCGUGGGAAGCAAUCGGCUUCCUGCCACUGCUGCUCCCCCCCCCGGAGCCGGCCCGUGACACGCAUCGAGCUUCGGCCAGGCCGUUCCCGAGCGUGGGAAUCACGUGAGGGCGAGCGGGGCUGCGGCGGGGGCCGACGCGCGUUGCUUGAAGAGGACGCGCCGAAACGGUGGUGGCGCUCCGCUCGCCGAGGGGCUGCCGGCACAGCGCCAAGGCGCCCGGCGGGAUGGAGCAGGGAGGCUCCCCACGGCCCUGCAGGAACUGGGAAGCGAUUUAGGGGGCUGCAGUGGUUUAGGAGGCUGCAGUGAUCCAGGAAGCAAUGAUGCAGGAUGCUGCAGUGAUUUGGGAAGCUGCAGAGAUUUGGGAAGCUGCAGUGAUUUGGGAAGCUGCAGUGAUUUGGGAAGCUGCAAUGAUUUAGGAAGCUGCAGUGAUUUGGGAAGCUGCAGUGAUCCAGGAAGCUGCAGGGAUCCGGGAAGGCUGAAGCAGGGAGGCAGAGCUGCUCCACGGCGCUGCAGGGACAGAGCGGAGGCCCUCGGGAUGCCCGGGCCCGUCUCAGCAGCGGGGGCGCAGGGGGGGCCGUGCAGCCCCUCCUGGGCGCUGGGACCAAAAGCGAAGCGGCCCCUCGCUUGUCCGCCUCCCCCGGCCCUUCGCCGGCCUCCGAUCCCUGCCGGGCCAGUUCGGUCCAAGCAGGGAAGGCAGGGAAGCGGCGGCGGCGUGGCGAAGCGCUCCAGCUCCCCGCCGCCUCGCUUCGGAAGUGGUCGGCUGGGGACCCUCGCUGAUUCAUAUAUUUAUUUUCCCCGGCGCCACGCGAGAGGCGAACGCAGCGUGUUUCCAUACGAGGCGGCUAGGUGCUUCCAGCACUGCCGUUCGCGACGAGAAAAAUAGGCAGGAAGGCUGCGCGGCGGCGGUUUUAUUGUGUUAAUAAGUUUGGCGUCUAUAAGCAACAUAUGUAAAUGACUGAUAUACUGUCUUGCUGCCAUUUAACAUUAUGUUGCGGAGGUGAGCGGGAGCCAAGUCUGCAGCGUUCCGACUAAUACGCGCGGAGCUGCCAAUUUUUUUUCCCCCUCUCUCUCUUUUUUUUUUUUAUCCUUUUAUUUUUUUUUCCCUGAACUUGUUAUUGCUGUUUUCAUUUAAACAAGUCGAGCGAGCCGCCCGCGCCGAAAUAACGACUCGGACGCUGCCGUUCCCGUCGUCUCCCCCCCCUUCCUCCCCGCCGUUCCCCGGGAGGCGGCGUUCGGCCCUCUCCGCCGCUCCCGGUGCUCCGUCCCCUUGCCGGGAAGAGGCAGCGGAGGAGCUGCCGCGCUGUGCUGGGCUUCGCGGCACCGGCAGACGUGGGGCAGAGCGAUCGCUCGGGGGCUGAUUUUUUCCGCCCCCCCGGGGAGGGGGAAGAAAAACAAGCGGUUAGUUUUUCCCGCGCUCUCGCGAGUAAUUUUGAGGGAAUUGCUGCCGAAC